UACGUAGGGUGCAAGCGUUGUCCGGAAUUAUUGGGCGUAAAGAGCUCGUAGGCGGUCUGUCGCGUCUGCUGUGAAAACUCGGGGCUUAACCCCGGGCCUGCAGUGGGUACGGGCAGACUAGAGUGCGGUAGGGGAGACUGGAAUUCCUGGUGUAGCGGUGAAAUGCGCAGAUAUCAGGAGGAACACCGAUUGCGAAGGCAGCUCGCUGGAGCGGUACUGACGCUGAGACGCGAAAGCGUGGGGAGCGAACAGG
rnacentral:rRNA from 1 species